rnacentral:rRNA from 1 species
UAAAACCAGUUACAGCCAUUGAUGGAUGCCUUGGCGUCAUGUGGCGAUGAAGGACGCAGUAAGCUGCGAAAAGUUUCGGGGAGCGGCACGCACGCUUUGAUCCGGAAAUAUCCGAAUGGGGAAACCCGGCACCGGUCAAUCGGUGUCACUCCGGCCUGAAUUCAUAGGGCCGGUAGAGCAACACGCGGAGAAGUGAAACAUCUCAGUAUCCGCAGGAAAAGAAAGAGAAUCGAUUCCGUUAGUAGUGGCGAGCGAACGCGGAAGAGCCCAAACCAGGGGGAUUUAUCCCGCUGGGGUUGUAGGACCACGAUGUGGAAAGCCUAGGUUAGAAGAACGUACUGGAAAGUACGACCAAAGAGGGUGACAGUCCCGUAUUUUAAAACCGAAGCAGACCUAGUGGAAUCCUGAGUAGCACCGGACACGUGAAACCCGGUGUGAAGCUACGCCGACCACGGCGUAAGGCUAAAUACACUAUGACGACCGACAGUGAACUAGUACCGCGAGGGAAAGGUGAAAAGCACCCCUGUUAGGGGAGUGAAAUAGUAACUGAAAUCAAUGGCUAACAAAUCAGUAGGAGCUACUAUAUGUAGUGACUGCCUGCCUUUUGUAUAAUGAGUCUGCGAGUUAUUGUCCGUAGCAAGCUUAAGCCGCUAAGCGGCGGAAGCGUAGCGAAAGCGAGUCCAAAUAGGGCGCUAAGUUGCUGGCAAUAGACCCGAAGGGGAGGUGAUCUAACCAUGAUCAGGAUGAAACCUCGGUAAAACGAGUUGGAGGUCCGAACCGGUCAACCUUGAGAAGUUGUCGGAUGAAUUGUGGUUAGGAGCGAAAGACUAAUCAAACCCCCUGAUAGCUGGUUCUUUCCGAAAUAUAUUUGGGUAUAGCGUCGGACGCUGACCUAUGGAGGUAGAGCACUAAAUAAGCUAGGGCUUCUAACGAGGUACUGAACUUAAUUAAACUCCGAAUACCAUAGGGUGUAGUCCGGCAGUCAGACUGCGGGUGAUAACGUCCGUAGUCGAGAGGAGAAUAAUCCAGACCAUCGGUUAAGGUCCCAAAAUAUGGCUCAGUGGAAAAGGAUGUGAUUUUGCUCAGACAAUGGGGAUGUUGGCUUAGAGGCAGCCAUCAUUUAAACAGUGCGUAACAGCUGACCCAUCGAGCGAAAUUGCGCCGAAAAUGAUCGGGACUCAAGCCAUAUACCGAAGCCAUGGGCUUCUCGCAAGAGAAGCGGUAGGAAAGCGUUCCAAUUGCAGCGAAGUGCCAGGGAAACCAAACAUGGAGCGAUUGGAAGUGAGAAUGCAGACAUAAGUAACGAUAAAGCCGGUUAAAAUCCGGCUCGCCGUAAGGAUAAGGUUUCCUGGGCAAGGCUCGUCCUCCCAGGGUCAGUCGGGAGCUAAGGUGAGGCCGUAAGGAGUAACUGAUGCACAGCAGGUUAAUAUUCCUGCACCGAUCUACGACUAUCCUAUAGAUGACGGAUUGAGAAAGUCAACAGACCUGUCUUGACAAGGCACUGCGAAGCCACGGCUUAGCGGGAGUUGAUGGAAUCGGUCCCAAGAAAAGUCUAUAGGGAACUACGUGGGUUGCCCGUACCGCAAACCGACACAGGUAUCCGGGAUGAGUAUUCUAAGGCGCGUGAGUUAAAUCUCUCUAAGGAACUCGGCAAAUUGACCCCGUAUCUUCGGUAUAAGGGGUGCCCCGUGAGGGGCCGCAGCAAAGCGCGUCAACCGACUGUUUAGCAAAAACACAGCUCUCUGCAAAGUCGCAAGACGACGUAUAGGGAGUGACACGUGACCAAUGCGGAAAGGUGAAAGCGUGAGGUGCAAGCUUCGCGUCUAAGCCCCCGUGAAUGUCGGCCGUAACUAUAACGGUCCUAAGGUAGCGAAAUUCCUUGUC